UCUGGUUGAUCCUGCCAGUAAUAUAUGCUUGGAUGAAGGAUUAAGCCAUGCAAAUGUAAGAAUAAGUCGGUUACGACAAAUCUGUGGAAGGCUAAGUAAAAAAAGGGAGAAAGAAAGAGGGGGAGAAAAUUGUGGAUAAUGAGAGGAAAUCUCUCAAUAAUACAAAAAUUGUAGCAAUGUAUAAAUGAAUAGACUUGCUACUGAUAAGCUGGGUAACCAGCGACCCCUCGUCUGACUCUUAUGUAUCAAUUAGACUUUAGGGUAAGGGCCUAAAGUGAUGAUAACGCAUACAGAGAAUUAGGGUUCGAUUCUGGAGAGGGAGCAUGAGAGAUGGCUACCACUUCUAAGGAAGGCAGCAGGCGCGCAAAUUGCCCAAUGUGGAAAUCACGAGGCAGCGAACAUCAAUAACAAUGAGAGACUGAAUAACAGUUUUUCAAUUGGAAUGAGAUAUGAGAAGAGAAAAAAGCGAGAAACAAGUGGAGGGCAGGUCUGGUGCCAGCAGCCGCGGUAAUACCAGCUCCACAAGCGUAUAUUAAAGCUGCUGCAGUUAAAACGCUCGUAGUUGUGGUUUCGUUAGCGGAGCGGUCUGUGUCUCAAAAAGACGCGGGCAGUUCUGCUAAUUACAAUCUAGUGUGUGUGUUAACUCAUUCAUACUAAGUAAACCUUGAAGAAAUAUUGACGCUUAAAAUUUGACUUAAGUCAAAGUUCUUUUUGCAUGGGAUUUUGGAAUAUGAGUGGUGGAGUAAAAUCCGCUGCUAAUGACAUUCGAGGAUGCAAGAGGAAGUUAAUAUUUGUGAGUCAGAGGUGAAAUUCUUGGAUUUCACAAAGAUUAACUAAUGCGAAGGCAUUCUUCAAUUGCUUUCCUGUCAAUCAAGAACGAAAGUAAGGGGAUCGAAGACGAUCAGAUACCGUCGUAGUCUUUACAGUAAAUUUUGCCGACAAAGGAAACGGGAAAGACCUAGAAUGCGCCGGGCAACUGGUACAUUUAAUAUCCUCCUGUUUUCUCCCACGAAAGUUUAAGUCUUUGGGUUCUGGGGGGAGUAUGUUCGCAAGGCCGAAACUUAAAGGAAUUGACGGAAAGGCACCACCAGGCGUGGAGCCUGCGGCUUAAUUUGACCCAACACGGGAAAACUUACCAGGUCCAAACAGCGUGAGGAUUGACAGAUUGAGAGCUCUUUCAUGAUUCGUUGGGUGGUGGUGCAUGGCCGUUCUCAGUUGGUGGUGCGAGCUGUCUGGUUGAUUCCGUUAACGAACGAGACCUUUGUGAGAUAAUAGUUGAAUCAAGAUAUUGCGUCAAGGCUGGAGCUCACGUAUUGGGGAAGGAUCCGUUCCUCCCUUUACUCUGGGUUUCAGUUGCAAUCUAGAUUACAACUUCUUUCUCAGAC
rnacentral:rRNA from 1 species